rnacentral:tRNA from 1 species
GGAGAGGUGGUCGAGUGGUUGAAGGCUCUGGUCUUGAAAACCAGCAUAGUGAACAACUAUCGAGGGUUCGAAUCCCUCUCUCUCCU